rnacentral:lncRNA from 1 species
AGUUAAUGGAAGCAGGCCAGGGACAUAGCUCAGUGACACCAGGCCUGCCUGGCAAGUGCAAGGUCCUAAGUUCAAUUCCCAGUACCAAAAGAAAAAAGUUAAUGGGAGGACCUCCAGGCUUGCCCACCAGCCUCCAGCUUGGCCACACGGGCAUCUGCAAAAACAGCCCCCCACCGCCACCUCUUGGCUGUACAGUUAUUUGGAUCCACAUGACAGGCACAGGGGAGCAUAAAGGCCAUUGUCCUGAGCUGCAGAAGUGAAAAACAGAGAGAGGGCCUCUCGCAGACUCCCUGAUGAAAACUGAAGCCCACUGGAAAAGUGAAGAGAAUCUGCAAUAAAGCCACACCAGACCACCGUACUUGGAGCAUCUCAGAGUCCGUCGCCUCUGCCAACUCCGAGCUAGCCGGCCCACCAUCCGCUUCACACCUGAAGGAGCCUGCAGGCUGACUCCGCCACUUUCGCAUGCUCCGUUACCCUGGGCUCUUCGACAGGCCAGCUCUCAGGGCCAACCUGGGCUCCGACUCCGAGAGCCGGGCCUAGACCCUUGGCGGCCUCUGCUCUUCCUGGGCCAGAUAAGAGUUCUUCUACCGAGUUCUAAAAGAAGUUUGGACAACGUGGCCACAGUAUUUGGUGAGAACCCCUGGUGCCCAACAUCCGGGCCAUGGGGAGGCUGCGCCGUGUCGGCCUGGGUCCGUCCCUUUCUCCUGCGGAUGAAUUCAGCUGUUCCCUUCAUCCUCGCUAAGCGGCCUCGUUCUCCUGUGAACUGGGAUCCUCUGCCAGUGCAUCGCCUUCCCGCAGACGGGCGUCCUCCUGCGCCCAAGCCGGGACUAAGUCCCAGACGCAGACUGACAAAUUCCAGAUUCACACCCCAAACGCCCAGACAUUCCCAGCUCCAAACUGCAGUGUGCCUGUCUAUCUCUCGAGGGCGCGAACUCUCUUUCUUUGAGUGCACAUUUUUGAAAAUUCCCUCUAAU